UACGUAGGGUCCAAGCGUUAUCCGGAAUCACUGGGCGUAAAGCGUGCGUAGGCGGCGUGUUAAGUGUGAUGUUAAAUCGUGGGGCUCAACCCUGUCGUUGCAUCGCAUACUGGCAUGCUUGAGGAAGGCAGAGGCAAGUGGAAUUGGCAGUGUAGCAGUGAGAUGCGUAGAGAUUGCCAGGAACACCAAUGGCGAAGGCAGCUUGCUGGGCCUUUUCUGACGCUGAGGUACGAAAGCGUGGGGAGCAAACAGG
rnacentral:rRNA from 1 species